rnacentral:rRNA from 1 species
UACAGGGGGGCAAGCGUUGUUCGGAAUUACUGGGCGUAAAGGGUCUGUAGGUGGCUUACUAAGUCAGACGUGAAAUCCCUCAGCUUAACUGGGGAACUGCGUCUGAUACUGGAAAGCUUGAGUGCAGGAGAGGAACGCGGAAUUCCAGGUGUAGCGGUGAAAUGCGUAGAUAUCUGGAGGAACACCGGUGGCGAAGGCGGCGUUCUGGACUGCAACUGACACUGAGAGACGAAAGCCAGGGGAGCAAACGGG